UAACAAGGAUUCCCCUAGUAACUGCGAGUGAAGCGGGAAGAGCUCAAAUUUAAAAUCUGGCGGUCUUUGAUCGUCCGAGUUGUAACCUGAAGGAGCGUUUUCCGCGCCGAACCGUGUACAAGUCUCCUGGAACGGAGCGUCAUAGAGGGUGAGAAUCCCGUUCAUGACACGGACGCUCGGUGCUUUGUGAUACGCUCCCGAAGAGUCGCGUUGUUUGGGAAUGCAGCGCAAAAUGGGUGGUAAAUUCCAUCUAAAGCUAAAUAUUGGCGAGAGACCGAUAGCGAACAAGUACCGUGAGGGAAAGAUGAAAAGCACUUUGGAAAGAGAGUUAAACAGUACGUGAAAUUGUUGAAAGGGAAACGCUUGAAGUCAGUCGCGUCUUGUGGAACUCAGCCUUGCUUCGGCCUGGUGUACUUUCCACUCGACGGGUCAACAUCAAUUUCGACCGGUGGACAAGGGCGAGGGGAAUGUAGCGUCGUUUCGGCGACGUGUUAUAGCCCCUCGUCGCAUACACCGGCUGGGAUUGAGGACCGCAGCGCGCCCUUGUGGCCGGGGGUUCGCCCCACGUACCGCGCUUAGGAUGUUGGCAUAAUGGCUUUAAGCGACCCGUCUUGAAACACGGACCAAGGAGUCUAACAUGCUUGCGAGUGUUCGGGUGGAAAACCCUUGCGCGUAAUGAAAGUGAAAGUUGGGAGCCUCCGCGAGGGGGUGCACCGACGCCCGGCCCUGACGUUCUCUGACGGUGCUGCGGUAGAGCAAGUAUGUUGGGACCCGAAAGAUGGUGAACUAUGCCUGAAUAGGGCGAAGCCAGAGGAAACUCUGGUGGAGGCUCGUAGCGAUUCUGACGUGCAAAUCGAUCGUCAAAUUUGGG
rnacentral:rRNA from 1 species